UACAUAUACAUAAAUAAAUAUAGACUCUACCUAGGUUUGUGUAAGUAACUCUAUGAUCUUUAUACAACAAUAAAAUCACCUAACAAAGCAUCUCUGAGACUGCAUCCCCAUUGUUAAGUGACACAGGACUCAUGACAUGAAAAAAGUCUACAUGAUCAGUACAGACACAACUGUCAUAAGCCUGACUACAUAAUACACCUUAGCAACAACAACAUUUUUUUCAAAUAUUUUCCACUGGAGUUUGAUUGAAACCCAUGGAUAAAGGUGGAACUGACUAUACUUCCAGACUUCUUCCUGGUCCCUACCCCCUAAUCUCCCAGACACCCUCAGCUGUUGUCAGAAACACAAAAAAGCAGAUCCUGUCUCUUUGAAGCAAAGGAAGUGAUGAAGAGAAAGGAGUGGGUGAGGCCUCUGCUUUACCUGUGGGAGGGCUGACACUUUCCUGCAGUUUUUCUUUUUUAAUUUCUCUCCACCUAGAAGGAAGCAAACCAUCCAUAAACUCACAGGCCUUUUUGAAAAAAGGCAAAAAAAUCCAUGGCAGUGGUCAGAAAAGAAACAUUAUCUGGUCAGAUUCCCACAUUUGCAGGUUUAUGCUUCCCUCACUUUAAAGGUUAAGUCACAUAUCAGGUAAUAAUGGGGUCUAAAGAACCAUGGUCUCCUCUAACUAACCUUCUUCUUCCAGGAUGUCCCUUUUCUUUUCUAACCUUAAAAUUUGCAAUCCUAUUGUAUUUGUCCUGCAAGUAUUCUCAAAUGUCAUUUUCUUUAACAGAUAACUAUAACCCGGAAAGGGACAGUGAUUUUCCCAGAACUACCCAGCCAGUUCCAAAACUUAUCCUUCCCGGUCUGUGACCCUGGUCAAAACCCUGCUCUUUCAUUUUGGCAAGUAGAAAGGUGGAGGCACUUGUUCUGGACAACCCCUAUCCCCUCCCAACUGCUUCACACUGAAUCUAUGGUAACAGACUUGAUUAAAUGUUAGUGAGGGUCCUUGCCCUGAAAAUAUUGACUUGUGUUGGAAAGAGGAAGGUGUGGCAGCAUAAGAAGAACGAGAAGUUUAGAUUGUAAGGCCCAUCUUGCCAUGUAUGAUUAUAGGAAGAGUAUAACUGUUUCUUCUAAAUUUCUAUAAAAAUCCAUUUUUUUAUUUGAACAAAAUUAAUUUAAAUUAUAAAUAUGUACUUACCAGCAAUAAAAAAAUAUAGCAAUAAUGAAAACUGCAGAAACAAUAUCUGUGAAAAGCCAUAUGAACAGAUACUUUGUUGGUGACUACAAAACAUAAAAUAAACCACUGUUAAAGAACUUUACAGUUGGAAGGAGUUUUAGAUGCUAUGGGCUAAGUCCCUUGCUCUGCUGUCUAGGCUGGCAAAGAGAAGAAAGAGGGGCAGACUAGGU
rnacentral:lncRNA from 1 species